UACAGAGACUGCAAGCGUUAUUCGGAUUCACUGGGCGUAAAGGGUGCGCGGGCGGCCAAGUGUGUGAGGCGUGAAAGCCUGGGGCUUAACUCCAGAAUUGCACCUCAAACUACUUGGCUAGAGCAUUGGAGAGGGUAGCAGAAUUCAUGGUGUAGCAGUGAAAUGCGUAGAUAUCAUGAGGAAUACCAGAGGCGAAGGCGGCUACCUGGACAAUUGCUGACGCUCAGGCACGAAAGCGUGGGGAGCAAAAGGG
rnacentral:rRNA from 1 species